GAUGUCUCAACUACAAUGAUUGCUAAACCUGGUCCUAUUGCCGAUUUUCUUCUUGCUAACCAGAAAGUUGAUCGCCCUGACAGAGUUGACUGGCAAAAGGUCGUGUGAUCGCAAGAAUUUGCUUUAUUCUGGUCUUGAUUUGCUCAAUGCUUUUGUGUUCUGAAUUGAAGGAUCUCCCUAGUUUGACUAGAAGUUUCAGUAAAGGAAGUCAAAUAUAAUGAAUGUGAGGGAGAUCCGCUCUGGGA